rnacentral:tRNA from 3 species
GGAGGGAUGGCAGAGCGGUUGAAUGCGGCAGUCUUGAAAACUGUUAACCGAGCAAUCGGUUCGUGGGUUCAAAUCCCACUCCCUCCGCCA